AGUGAACGCUGGCGGCAGGCCUAACACAUGCAAGUCGAACGGAAGCACAGUAAGAGCUUGCUCUUACGGGUGGCGAGUGGCGGACGGGUGAGGAAUACAUCGGAUUCUACUUUUUCGUGGGGGAUAACGUAGGGAAACUUACGCUAACACCGCAUAUGACCUACGGGUGAAAUCAGGGGUUCUUCGCACCUUGGGCGAUAGAAAGAGCUGAAGUCGGAUUACCUAGUUGGCGAGGUAAAGGCCCACCAAGGCGACGAUCCGUAGCUGAUCUGAGAGGAUGAUCAGCCACACUGGAACUGAGACACGGUCCAGACUCCUACGGGAGGCAGCAGUAGGGAAUAUUGGGCAAUGGGCGAAAGCCUGAUGCAGCAAUGCCGCGUGAGUGAAGAAGGUCUUCGGAUUGUAAAACCCUGUUGUUAGGAAAGAAAAGCUGCGGGUUAAUACCCCGCUGUUCUGACGGUACCCAAAGAGUAAGCACCGGCUAACUUCGUG
rnacentral:rRNA from 1 species